UAUAUAGAAUAUGUUUAGUAGAAGUUUGCUGAACUAAAUGGACCAAAAAAAGAUUAAAUAGGCACAUACACACACAAAAUCUGCUACAGGUUAAUGAGAUAUAAAAAAUAAGGGAAACGCAAAAAAUUGUUUCACAGGCACACAACAUGAGCAAUGAACAUGAAGUUUAAAGAAGUUGCGUUUUUGUAGAUACACUGAGCAUUGAUACUUCGACUUACCAGGCUACAAAGAAAGUCUGAAUUAGUCUCACUGAAACUCCAACCUGAUCCAUGGGAAGGAUCCCUGAGAGGACUAUUACCAGCCCUGCUUUGAGCUAGCAGAAGAUUGGUAAGUCUGGCCUCAUUCAGGUCUUGUUGACUAUUGAGUCCACUUCUUUUU